rnacentral:misc_RNA from 1 species
UUUCAAAUCCAAAGAACACAAAAAACAUAUUGCUAGUUGUAUUUGUGUUCCUCAUUUGUUGGAGUAAUGUUUUUUCAAGAACUCAAGAAGAUGACAGAGUAAUAAAGCUGCCAGGACAACCCAAUAGUCCACAAGUUUCACAAUUUUCUGGUUACAUUACAGUCAAUAAAACUCAUGGAAGUGCUCUCUUUUACUGGUUUUUUCAAUCUCAGUUUGAUUCUUCCAAGAAACCCCUUCUCCUUUGGCUUAAUGGUGGACCUGGUUGCUCUUCAAUUGGAUUUGGCGCUGCUGUGGAGUUGGGACCUCUGCUAGUUCAAAACAAUGGAGCUGGUUUUGACUUCAACAAGCAUUCUUGGAAUAACGAAGCCAAUUUGCUGUUUUUGGAAUCUCCAGUUGGGGUGGGAUUCUCUUACACCAAUACAUCCUCCGAUUUAACCAACUUAGAUGACACCUUUGCUGCUGAAGAUGCUUAUAAUUUCUUGGUGAAUUGGCUGGAAAGGUUCCCCGAUUUCAAGAACCGAGAAUUUUUCAUAUCAGGAGAGAGCUAUGCAGGACACUAUGUGCCGCAGUUGGCAGAGCUCGUAUACAACCGAAAUAAAGACAGCAAAAAGUAUCCUUACAUUAAUCUCAAAGGUUUCAUCGUUGGAAAUCCUGAAACGAACGAUUACUAUGAUUAUAAAGGGAUAUUGGAAUAUGCUUGGAGCCAUGCAAUACUAUACGAUUCGGAGUAUCAGAAAGCCAAACAAGUAUGCAAUUUCAAGGUGUCCCGUGAACACUUCCUCUUCUUCAGCUAGUGAUAUCGUUGAUACAAAUGAUUCUUCUCAAAUCAAGGCACCUAAUUAUGGGUUCAGGAGGAUGAAACGAAUUCCGGGGGGUUAUGACCCCUGCUAUACUUCAUUCACCGAAAAGUAUUUCAACCGAUUAGAUGUUCAAAUUGCUCUUCACGCGAACACUGAAGGAAGUCAAGCUAGAAAACAAUGGAAAAGUUGCAGUGAUCCUAUAUUCCGCACAUACAACUACAAUGUAUUCUCUAUCUUGCCAGUAUACGAAAGGCUCAUCAAAGGGGGCCUGAAGAUUUGGAUUUUUAGUGGCGAUGUAGAUGGACGAGUGCCAGUAAUUGGGACGAGAGACUGCGUUGAAGCUCUUAAUCUGACUCUGAAAUCUCCAUGGCGUUCUUGGUUCCUCAAUAAGCAGGUAGCAGGACGGGUAGUAGAGUACGAAGGGCUGACAUUUGUGACAGUAAGAGGAG